GAUGAACGCUGGCGGCGUGCCUAAUACAUGCAAGUCGAGCGAACGGACGAGAAGCUUGCUUCUCUGAUGUUAGCGGCGGACGGGUGAGUAACACGUGGAUAACCUACCUAUAAGACUGGGAUAACUUCGGGAAACCGGAGCUAAUACCGGAUGAUAUUUUGAACCGCAUGGUUCAAAAGUGAAAGACGGUCUUGCUGUCACUUAUAGAUGGAUCCGCGCUGCAUUAGCUAGUUGGUAAGGUAACGGCUUACCAAGGCAACGAUGCAUAGCCGACCUGAGAGGGUGAUAGGCCGCACUGGAACUGAGACACGGUCCAGACUCCUGCGGGAGGCAGCAGUAGGGAAUCUUACGCAAUGGGCGAAAGCCUGACGGAGCAACGCCGCGUGAGUGAUGAAGGUCUUCGGAUCGUAAAACUCUGUUAUUAGGGAAGAACAUAUGUGUAAGUAACUGUGCACAUCUUGACGGUACCUAAUCAGAAAGCCACGGCUAACUACGUG
rnacentral:rRNA from 1 species